UCUGUUGAAACAAAAUUCCAGAUUAAAAAGUCAAAUAAAAAGGCAGAGCAGAACUAGCAUAAAUAUGCACAUAUUCCAUGAAAAAGCUAAGGUGUCAUAAAAAUGAAUGCAUAUUAUUAAACGCAAUCAAUCAAGUUAAUUACUUGUUAAUGCUAGGAAUUUAAUGUGUGUUUUUAGUUGUUUAGGUAAGCAAAAAUACCAAGGGGAAGAAAGAAAGCAUGGCCCAAUGCCAUAACAAUGAAUACUUGAAGUCAAUGUAUUGGAAUAAGCAUGGAUUACCCUUUCGAUACAUAGCAUCAUGGCGCUGAAAUCACGAAGCCAUAGAUGGCACUGGAUGCACAAUCCGGAAAUAGCAUUCUGACUACCUUGGAGGUGGAAGAAGGAGAAUCUUUCAUCAUCCCUUUUCAUCUCAUGGAGUUUCUUCUUUUCCUUUUUCUUUGUUUCUAGGAGUUCAGGUAAAGUUCUUCACCAAAGGAAUUUGGGGUUAUAACUAAUUAGGAAAUUUGGCCUUCAACAAGGAAAUUGGAAGUAAGAUAACGAAAAAAGGGGCAAGCUUUACAUGGACUCACACAAUUUGAUCAGGUUAAGUUAUCCCUCUUGCAAGAGAUAACGAUGAAAGUGUCAACAAAUACAGGUAAUUCAUACUUUUUACUUCUGUAUGAACCCAAAUGAAAAUAAUUUAUAUUUUCUUAUUUACAUUACAAUCUAGUCCUCCAUUGGUUACACUAAUUUCUUCUUAGACUACUGAAUUUUUGCAAUCUGUUUCCCUUCCUUAUUUUUUUAGCAAUAUCAGUAACAAAAUCUACUAUAACAGAGUAACAAAUAAUUGCUUAUUUAUCAAAAGCUCUCCCACAAAGUUGACAAAAACAAGCUUGCCAUUCCAAUUAAUGGAAGAAAAGACCCAAAAAAAUGGACCUAGAACUCCAAAAUUGUUUGCAGACACCACAAAAUGUGAGUUGUUCUUAUUAUCAUUUUGAUUUGCCUUCUCCUCCAUCAUAACUACAGAACUAAGAUUAUCAUCACAAUCAACGCUGCUAUUGCUUUUGAAGCCUUGUCACAAAGAGGGGGAAAAGAAAUGAAUGUAACGAAUUUGGAAGUACUAUCUCUUGAAAUCUGCUAGCCAAUCGUCACAACACAGACAGAUUUAAAGUUCAGCCACUAUUUUGAUCAACACCACACCACCACCAACAUUCAACCAAAUAGCAGCUCAAAAUUAACUACCAAGACCAACAUUUAAAAAAAAAAAA